rnacentral:misc_RNA from 1 species
AAAGUCGUAACAAGGUUUCCGUAGGUGAACCUGCGGAAGGAUCAUUAUUGAAUAAAUCUGACUUGGGUUGUCGCUGGCUCUCUUCGAGCAUGUGCACGCGCUUGUCACCUUUAUCUUUCCACCUGUGCACACACUGUAGUCCUGGAUACCUCUCGCUUGAGAAAGCGGAUGCGGAGUUUGCUUGCAAAAGCUUCCUCUGAAUUUCCAGGUCUAUGAUUUUUCUACACACCCCAUACGAAUGUUAUAGAAUGUCUUUACAUUGGGCCUCUGUGCCUAUAUAAAAAUCAAUACAACUUUCAACAACGGAUCUCUUGGCUCUC